rnacentral:rRNA from 1 species
GAUGAACGCUGGCGGCGUGCCUAAUACAUGCAAGUCGAGCGAACAGACGAGGAGUUUGCUCCUCUGACGUUAGCGGCGGACGGGUGAGUAACACGUGGAUAACCUACCUAUAAGACUGGGAUAACUUCGGGAAACCGGAGCUAAUACCGGAUAAUAUAUUGAACCGCAUGGUUCAAUAGUGAAAGACGGUUUUGCUGUCACUUAUAGAUGGAUCCGCGCCGCAUUAGCUAGUUGGUAAGGUAACGGCUUACCAAGGCAACGAUGCGUAGCCGACCUGAGAGGGUGAUCGGCCACACUGGAACUGAGACACGGUCCAGACUCCUACGGGAGGCAGCAGUAGGGAAUCUUCCGCAAUGGGCGAAAGCCUGACGGGGCAACGCCGCGUGAGUGAUGAAGGUCUUCGGAUCGUAAAACUCUGUUAUUAGGGAAGAACAAAUGUGUAAGUAACUAUGCACGUCUUGACGGUACCUAAUCAGAAGGCCACGGCUAACUACGUG